rnacentral:misc_RNA from 1 species
GAUGAAGAACGCAGCGAAAUGCGAUACGUAAUGUGAAUUGCAGAAUUCAGUGAAUCAUCGAGUCUUUGAACGCACAUUGCGCCCGCCAGUAUUCUGGCGGGCAUGCCUGUCUGAGCGUCAUUUCAACCCUCAAGCAACUUCUGCUUGGUGUUGGGGAUCGGCCGUCAAACGCCGCCCCCGAAAUCUAUUGGCGAUCUCGCUGUAGCUUCCUAUGCGUAGUAGUAACAUCUCGCAUCUGGAGAGCGGCGCGGUCAUGCCGUAAAACACCCAACUUCUCAGGUUGACCUCAGAUCAGGUAGGAAUACCCGCUGAACUUAAGCAUAUCAAUAAGCGGAGGA